UGGUCGCCGGUGGAGACUUCAAAACUGCAGUGAUGCUCC
rnacentral:tRNA from 1 species